AAAGCAUUUGAACCGUCGGUCUACCGAGCAACAUCACUCGCUCGAUGGGAGAUCUUCCCUUUCGUAGU
rnacentral:pre_miRNA from 1 species